rnacentral:lncRNA from 1 species
GAGUCUGGCCUGCCUGGGCUCGGGGUGGGGGGUGUUUACAGACCACCAAGGCAGGAGAGAUGGAAGCCGCCCAGAGAACUGCCACUCCAUAGCCUGUGGGCAUCCAGGGGUGAGCGGCAGCGAUGGCGCCCCAUGGAGGAAACACACUGGAAAUCGUGCAGAAGAUGGGAAGAUGCAGGCUGGAGUGCGGAGAAGGACUGAGACCCUGCCUGGUAGACGGCACCGUCACAGCAGCCGUCUGCCUGCUAGGAGGAGCGUCUCCACCAGCAGCAGGCCGGCCCCUGAGGGAGACAGCAGAGAGCUGGAGUCCUGGCCAGCCAGGCGGGGAUCCUUCAGCAGGACACAGGGGACACAGCAGGCAACAGGAGCUCAGAACGCUCUCGGCGACCCUGCUGAGUAACUUGUGGACUUUGUCGUCUGGCCAGUCAUGCAGGAUCCGGCACAGGACGUACAGCUCAGCGCUGGGGAGGGGGUCCCUGAAAAAGUCACCUGGUUUAAAGACAAAACGAGAUACGUCCGUCAGAGACAGAAGAGGAGACAGACACAGAGGAGAAGGCCACGUGGAGACGGAGGCAGAGACUGGAGUGAUGCGGCCACAAGCCCAGGGACGCCUGGAGCCCCCAGGAGCUGGAAGAGGCGGGAAGGAUCCUCCCCUAGAGCCUCUCAGAAAGAAUCAAACACAACUGCAAUGGGUUGGGUGGUGACGUCCAAAAGAUCUGUCCAAGUCCUAAGCCCCAGAACCUGGGAAUGGGACCUCAUUUGGAUAAAGUUUCUUUGCAGAUGUAAUUAAGGAUCUGGAGAUGGGAUCAUCCUGGAGUAGGGUGGGCCCUAAAUGCAAUGGCAGGUGUCCUUCUAAGAGACAGAAGAGGAGACACACAGAGGAGAAGGCCACGUGGAGAUGGAGGCAGAGACUGGAGUGAUGCGGCUACAAGCCCAGGGACACCCGGAGCCCCCAGGAGCUGGGAGAGGCAGGAAGGAUCCUCCCCUAGAGCCUCCAGAGGGAGCACAGCCCUGAGAUGCCUUGAUCUCAGACCUCCGGUCUGCAGGACAGGGAGAGGAUAAAUAGCAAGCUAUCUGGCAAAUCAGAAGCACAGCUAUCAUGAUGUCCUGCAGGAGGAGCUGUAGGGUGGUUGCGUUUUGUUUUUUUAAAAACGAGAAAAGCAUCCAGGAACCUCUGGGGGAGGGUUGUGGAGGUCCCCAGCACCUGUGCCCACAGGCCUGGCCGCUGUCGGAUGGUGCUGAGUUACAGCACGUCAGCUGUCUCUUUUUUUAUUUUUUUAUUUUUUUUGAGAUGGAGUUUUGCUGUGUUGCCCAGGCUGGAGUGCAGUGGCGCGAUCUCGGCUCACGGCAAGCUCCGCCUCCCGGGUUCAAGCGAUUCUCCUGCCUCAGCCUCCUGAAUAGGUGGGAUUAUAGGCACCCGCCACCAUGCCUGGCUAAUUUCUGUAAUUUUAGUAGAGAUGGGGUUUCACCAUGUUGCUCUGGCUGGUCUCAAACUCCUGACCUCAGGUGAUCCACCCGCCUCAGCCUCCCAGAGGGCUGGGAUUCCAGGCGUCUCCUGUCAAUCCGUCCUGGCCUCAGCAGCUGCCACCUGGAAGUUCUCCUUCAAGUCUAACCUAAGGCCACACUGUGACGGCUCUCGGGUCAGUUCCUUCCGUGACCUCGGCACCGUGGAUGCCCAUGAAUGCUGAUCUCGGCUGUUCCCCAUCUCCACUCCCCUCACGUCUCGGCUACUUGCACUGAUGAUAACUUCACACAG